GAUCUCCUGGCGCAAUGGUAGCGCAAUACCUGGAUCUUGAGCCUCGCACACAGUGAGACCGUGUUCUCGAGGCUUACGAUGUAGAGAUCUAGGUUCGAGUCCUGGGGAGGUGA
rnacentral:tRNA from 1 species